rnacentral:lncRNA from 1 species
CAAUGACGGCUUUGCAUUCACUGGUGAAUGGUAGAUCUGACUUAACUAAGAAAUGUACCAAUAACUAUUAGGUGAGACUACAGAAUUUAGAGACCGAACCCGUUGCAUCUUGCUUAAUAAAGUAAUGGAUAAGGUGUUGUCUACUCAUUGGUCUGUGCUCACCAAUAACUAUUAAAUGAGGUGUGUAUAGAUCAGUGGGACUGCAGUAUCCACUAAAAAUCAAUCGCAUAUAAAUUUCUGUUUCUCCACCCA